GACGUAGGGCGCGAGCGUUGUCCGGAUUUAUUGGGCGUAAAGAGCUCGUAGGCGGCUUGUCACGUCGGGUGUGAAAGCCCGGGGCUUAACCCCGGGUCUGCAUUCGAUACGGGCAGGCUAGAGUGUGGUAGGGGAGAUCGGAAUUCCUGGUGUAGCGGUGAAAUGCGCGGAUAUCAGGAGGAACACCGGUGGCGAAGGCGGAUCUCUGGGCCAUUACUGACGCUGAGGAGCGAAAGCAUGGGGAGCGAACAGG
rnacentral:rRNA from 1 species